GAUGAACGCUGGCGGCGUGCCUAAUACAUGCAAGUCGAGCGAACGGACGAGAAGCUUGCUUCUCUGAUGUUAGCGGCGGACGGGUGGGUAACACGUGGAUAACCUACCUAUAAGACUGGGAUAACUUCGGGAAACCGGAGCUAAUACCGGAUAAUAUUUUGAACCGCAUGGUUCAAAAGUGAAAGACGGUCUUGCUGUCACUUAUAGAUGGAUCCGCUCUGCAUUAGCUAGUUGGUAAGGUAACGGCUUACCAAGGCAACGAUGCAUAGCCGACCUGAGAGGGUGAUCGGCCACACUGGAACUGAGACACGGUCCAGACUCCUACGGGAGGCAGCAGUAGGGAAUCUUCCGCAAUGGGCGAAAGCCUGACGGAGCAACGCCGCGUGAGUGAUGAAGGUCUUCGGAUCGUAAAACUCUGUUAUUAGGGAAGAACAUAUGUGUAAGUAACUGUGCACAUCUUGACGGUACCUAAUCAGAAAGCCACGGCUAACUACGUG
rnacentral:rRNA from 1 species